rnacentral:lncRNA from 1 species
AUGGAUAUUCCUAUCGCCAAGGGACCCAGUCUCGAGCUCGCUUUUACACCACGGUUUUGGGGCUAUGCAAAUGAUGACUUUAUCAGAACCUGGGAACGGCUACUUCGUAAGUGUGAAAAGCCACUGGAAGAAACUCCAGUAGACAGCAAUAAUCCUUACAAGGAAAAGAAAAAAGAAAGGACUCCUUUGGCCAGCAGUAGUGAUGUAAACCGCUGCACCUUUGAAGAAUACAGCAGAGUUCAGAUCAUGUAGUAGAGAAGUAAAGCACAAGGGGGAACCUGGAAGUUUCAGGACGUUGACUUUAGGGUGAGAGAGCAUUUCUGGAGAAUAUUAGCAAACACACAUGUUUUACACUGGCAGCAGCUCCAUAUUUGAUAGUUGUUGCUGCAAGAUCCAGGAGACUAUUUCAUGUUAAACAGAUGAGUCAGAAGACUCCAUUUCCUACCCCCACCCUCCAGUUCUCAAAAAGAUUAUGAUUUUUCUUGGAGAAUAUUAAUCCAUCAGAAUGAUUCAUUAUAGAGUUCCUGUGAACAGCCCCUGGUUUACAGAUUUUCUCAGAAGCUUGGUUAAAGACAGUCUUGACCACACCCCAUUUAAACAUUUGUGAAGGUCAUAUCUGAGGUUUCCCUUGGGAUACUUUCUAUUUUUACCAACACCUUCUGCUCCAGACUCUGAACACGCUUUCUGCAAAAUCAUAUGCCAGCUGCAAAAGCACCCAGAUCUUUUCAAAAUAUCCAUUUAUGAAAUCAUAACUUGGCUCUCAGUAAAUUCACAGGAUUGUAUUUCAAGAAACUUGUAUUAAUAUAUGUUUUCUUCAUAUGUCCACAUGGAUGAGUUUAGAGCAAAAAUUUACCUACAGUGUGCCAGUGUGCUGCCUUUUUUUUUUUUUUUUUUGGGAAGGCUGUUUCAAAUGAAGAAAUUCAGUGUAAUCUCAAAAAGGGAACAGAUUAGAUGAGGUUGGUCAUUUCUGGUGAAUAGCAGCAUGUGCUAAAGGCUGUGGCAACGCUAUUGACACCAUGGUGGCACAAGCACAUAAAUGAGGUGAAGAUAGUAAAAUGAAGUAUGUUUUCCAAGUAUGACUGAAAUUUGUCAUUGUUUUUCAAGUGCAUCUGUUGUUCUUAGGAAAGAGUCAGCUAUAAAGAUAAUCUCCCCAUUGCAACUCAUGCCCUGCUUGUGGGUGAGACCACCCUUUUUACAGACAGGGCACAAAAUACCUUAUGCCUUUAUUUCUCUCAACAGGGGACAAAGUGAAUGGUGGAAAAGAUGGGAGCACAAGUUAAUUAUUGUUCCUCAUCGACUGGCUGAUGGUUACCUCUAACGUAUACUGUACUUUAAUCCAGCAUACCAGUUAGGAUACAAUAUAGAGGAGCUAGAAUUGCUAGCUAAAAUUUGUUCCAACCCAAACAAAUUUAAUGCUGGUCAUUUGCAUAAUGCCAUAUUACUAUUUGCAUCAUUACCAUAAUGCAUGGUAAUAUUUGGUCAGCUAAAUUGUGUCUGAGUUUAAUUUUCACAUGUCUGUGUGUUUCCCUGAGUCAGCUGGAAUAAGAAAUGAGACAUUAUAAGAAAACCUGCUCUUGUGGUACUGCCAGCUGGGUCAAAGGAUAGCAUCCAGACUGCCAGAAAAAUCCACUGGGUGAGAUCUUGCACUCUCUUUCUUUUGAGACUGAAGGUUCCAGAUUUCUAGAUCUUUAGGUGGAAUGAGAAUGAGAACCUGACACCUGAGCUGAAAGUUCGCUGACCCACAGGGAGGCAGUGGAGGUGACCCUAAGCUACACAUCCACCUUUUCAGAAAGGACCUCUGCUUAGGGCUGGAUGUCACCUUUCAACCUCUGUGACUUCCGUCAGUGACACUUACCAGCCCCCAGAGCGAGUGCUUUGCCUCUCUGUUUCUUACAGACAUCGUUUCCAAGCAGCAGGUUUCAUGCAUUUGAGGCUUUGACUAGUUAUUUCAAAGAAUGAAAUUACCAGUCAGGGACAUUUGCUAUAUAGUUUUACCACCACAGCAGAACUAUUUUAAAUACUACUACAUUAUUAAAGUUCUCCUUCAGGAAUACUUUAGAAAUAAUUUUGCUGCCCUCUAGCCUACUGUUGAAAUCUCUAUAAAAUGCCAGCAUUAUCCUUCAGGAAUGCUUCUGAAAUAGCUUUACUCUCUUUACUGUCCUUUUCAUUACUACUGAAAUCCUUCCAGAAUGCUAAAGUUAACCUUCAGCGAGAUGCCAGAAUAACUUUCACAUUCUGGAAGGGUUUCAAUACUGAUUUAAAGGAUAUCAAAAUGCAGUUUUAUGUUUGUUUGUUGUUUGUUUGUUUGCUUAGUUUCAGAGUAAGGAUUGUGGUGGCAAAAGUAUGAACUUCACUGUACUGUUUUUUUGUGUUUAUAUAAACAUGUAACCACGGAGGCUGCAGUAAUAGUGGUCCUGGAACCCAAAGAAAGUUAUUUCUAAAACAGAGCUUCUAAAAAUUGCCAAAGCAUGAACUGAGGUGACAGCAGGGAAUGUGGUUUUGUUUGCUUAAUGGACCUGCAAGUGAAUUCUGCUGAUCUUACUCUGACAAUGAAAGUUUUGAGGGCAUGAGCCAACUCCUUUGAUUAAAAUGAGAAAGAUCACAAACCUUUGCCCCAAACUCUGACUGAACCCAAAUUAAAUCUAUUUUGAGGUGUGAAAAGUUCCUUUUGGUUUUUGUUGCUGUGCACGUCUGGUUUCAGCAGGGGGAAAUGUUCAGAUACUUUAACAAGGACUGUGUCUGUAAUGCUUCCAGCUCAACAGAAUCAGAAAGUCCCAGUACCUGGAAGACAUUUCUAAUAAACUCAUGAGCACCUGAGAUAAUUUAGCA